rnacentral:rRNA from 1 species
GACGAACGCUGGCGGCGUGCUUAACACAUGCAAGUCGAACGGAAAGGCCCUGCUUUUGUGGGGUGCUCGAGUGGCGAACGGGUGAGUAACACGUGAGUAUCCUGCCCUUGACUUUGGGAUAACUUCAGGAAACUGGGGCUAAUACCGGAUAGGAGCUCCUGCUGCAUGGUGGGGGUUGGAAAGUUUCGGCGGUUGGGGAUGGACUCGCGGCUUAUCAGCUUGUUGGUGGGGUAGUGGCUUACCAAGGCUUUGACGGGUAGCCGGCCUGAGAGGGUGACCGGCGACAUUGGGACUGAGAGACGGCCCAGACUCCUACGGGAGGCAGCAGUGGGGAAUAUUGCACAAUGGGCGGAAGCCUGAUGCAGCAACGCCGCGUGCGGGAUGACGGCCUUCGGGUUGUAAACCGCUUUCGCCUGUGACGAAGCGUGAGUGACGGUAAUGGGUAAAGAAGCACCGGCUAACUACGUG